AUGAACGCUGGCGGCGUGCUUAACACCUGCAAGUCGAACGGAAAGGCCCAAGCUUGCUUGGGUACUCGAGUGGCGAACGGGUGAGUAACACGUGGGUGAUCUGCCCUGCACUUCGGGAUAAGCCUGGGAAACUGGGUCUAAUACCGGAUAGGACCACUUCUUGGAUGUUGUGGUGGAAAGUUUUUCGGUGUGGGAUGAGCUCGCGGCCUAUCAGCUUGUUGGUGGGGUAAUGGCCUACCAAGGCGUCGACGGGUAGCCGGCCUGAGAGGGUGUACGGCCACAUUGGGACUGAGAUACGGCCCAGACUCCUACGGGAGGCAGCAGAGGGGAAUAUUGCACAAUGGGCGCAAGCCUGAUGCAGCGACGCCGCGUGGGGGAUGACGGCCUUCGGGUUGUAAACUCCUUUCGCUAGGGACGAAGCUUAUUUUGUGACGGUACCUGGAGAAGAAGCACCGGCUAACUACGUG
rnacentral:rRNA from 1 species